rnacentral:rRNA from 1 species
GACGUAGGGGGCCAGCGUUGCUCGGAAUUACUGGGCGUAAAGGGUUCGUAGGCGGUGCGGCAAGUCGAAAGUGACAUCUCUGGGCUUAACUCAGAGGCUGCUUCCGAAACUGCCGUGCUAGAGUGCGGGAGAGGCGAGUGGAAUUGCAGGUGUAGCGGUGAAAUGCGUAGAUAUCUGUCGGAACAGCCGUGGCGAAGGCGGCUCGCUGGACCGCAACUGACGCUGAGGAACGAAAGCGAGGGGAGCAAACAGG